GGAAGAUUUGGAACUGAGAUGACAUGUGCCGAAGAAGACUAUUUACUGAGGUGCAUAUACGGCGUUGUCGGAGGCUGGUCACCACCCCGAUCUCACUUAGUUUAAACUAGUUUUCGGGAUUCAAAAGGUCAUUCGGUUUGAAAUGUUAAAUCUAAGUUUGCAAUUUAUCAAGAUACUUGCCAGCAUAUUUGUUAUAGAAAAGGAAAAUA
rnacentral:misc_RNA from 1 species